rnacentral:rRNA from 1 species
AUUGAACGCUGGCGGCAGGCUUAACACGUGCAAGUCGAGCGGUAGCACAGGGGAGCUUGCUCCCUGGGUGACGAGCGGCGGACGGGUGAGUAAUGUCUGGGAAACUGCCUGAUGGAGGGGGAUAACUACUGGAAACGGUAGCUAAUACCGCAUAACGUCGCAAGACCAAAGAGGGGGACCUUCGGGCCUCUUGCCAUCAGAUGUGCCCAGAUGGGAUUAGCUAGUAGGUGGGGUAAUGGCUCACCUAGGCGACGAUCCCUAGCUGGUCUGAGAGGAUGACCAGCCACACUGGAACUGAGACACGGUCCAGACUCCUACGGGAGGCAGCAGUGGGGAAUAUUGCACAAUGGGCGCAAGCCUGAUGCAGCCAUGCCGCGUGUGUGAAGAAGGCCUUCGGGUUGUAAAGCACUUUCAGCGAGGAGGAAGGUGGUGAGCUUAAUACGUUCAUCAAUUGACGUUACUCGCAGAAGAAGCACCGGCUAACUCCGUG